AGUGAACGCUGGCGGUAGGCCUAACACAUGCAAGUCGAACGGCAGCACAGUAAGAGCUUGCUCUUACGGGUGGCGAGUGGCGGACGGGUGAGAAAUACAUCAGAAUCUACUUUUUCGUGGGGGAUAACGUAGGGACACUUCCGCUAAUACCGCAUAUGACCUACCGGUUAAAUCAGGGGAUCUUCGCACCUUUCGCGACUGAAUGAGCCGAUGUCGGAUUAGCUAGUUGGCAGGGUAAAGGCCCACCAAGGCGACGAUCCGUAGCUGGCCUGAGAGGAUGAUCGGCCACACUGGAACUGAGACACGGUCCAGACUCCUACGGGAGGCAGCAGUGGGGAAUAUUCGACAAUGGGCGCAAGCCUGAUCCAGCCAUGCCGCGUGAGUGAAGAAGGUCUUCGGGUUGUAAAGCCCUUUUAUUGGGAAAGAACAGCAGUAGGUUAAUACCCCGCUGUUCUGACGGUACCUAAAGAAUAAGCACCGGCUAACUUCGUG
rnacentral:rRNA from 1 species